GCUGUGUUUGUCUUCAACGCGUUGGCCACUGCACAGGCGCCUUCAUCCCCGAUGGCAUUCUCCUGUAAACUGAACACAUUGAGAGUGACCCCGGGGUGCAUGGGGCACAGGGCCGGCUUUCUUGCAUGAUGUGCUUAGCUGAGCUUGGACCUUCUAUUUAAUUCAGAACACACACACUAUAGACUAGACUCCCAGGGUCACCCCAUGUGGCCAAUGCAGUCCCAUGGCCUCCUAAUGAACAUGUAGAGGGGUCUGGGGCCUGGACCCGAGAAGCAAACAAGAAAAGGGACAUGUGAAAGUACUGUCACCAAGGGUUUGGGACAAAAUAGGGGAUGCUUUUCAAAGCCAACCAGAAAACUAAAUUGAAGCCCUUGAUCCCUCGGCUAUUCUUACUAGUCAGCGUUUUUCAUCUUUUCCACAUUGGAAGAAGUAGCUGGCCCUUGAGCUUAGUUCAAGUGGACUCUGGCGUGUUUAAGGGAGCAGUUUGCGUAAUGAUUUUAACAGACAUUGACUGUUCAUUGUGUAUUAGCAAGCCCAAUUCUGCCCACUUGGAACUCAGGCAGGAAGACAUGGUUACAUGAGCAGUCACCAGAGACCUCAUGCAGCCUGCAGGGAGGACCCUGCAGGGUCUCCCAACCCAGGGUGAUCACAGAGGCUGCCCAGAAGAAAUAGGUCUGAACCAAUUUCUGAACCAAAACCUGAAUAAGAGAUGGGGGAGAGGGCCUAGCACAUCUAAGGAACCCAGUGAAAUUGAGUCAAGUCUGGAGUACGAGGUGAGGCUGAGGGGGUGCAAAGGCAGUAGAUGUUUGGGGGCCCUAGAAGCCAUGCUAAAGGUCAGCUUCCCUCUGCAGGCACUGAGCAGGCACUGAAACGUCUCACCAGGACAGGGACAGAUGUGUGUUUUGGAAAGAUGUUGGCCAGCAGUAUGAGAGGAUGAACUGGGUGUGGAGGCUGCUGUGGUGAUACAGCUCCAGGCUCAUGAUCCAAACCCCUCAGCCUCACCAGCAUCAUCAGGGCCUGGAUACAGGUGGAGAUCAGGUGAGCCCUGGAACAGAUUGCCAGGCCCAGGAUAACUUCUGAGCCAGAUGAGGUACCAGAGCCUCAGGAACCUUCUGGAAUGGGCAGAAAUAAGCAGUCCCCAUCCUGAGACAAAUGCUUCAAAGACACGACUCCUUGAAAGCACCAUUGGCCAGUAGAGCAGAGAGGAGGAUUGGAAAGGAGCCCCCAGACUCUGAAAGACAGACGGGCACCCUGGGUGAGGUCUCCUGGGGCAG